rnacentral:rRNA from 1 species
GAUGAACGCUGGCGGCGUGCUUAACACAUGCAAGUCGAACGGGAAACCUUUUAAUGAAGCUUCGGCAGAUUUAGCUGGUUUCUAGUGGCGGACGGGUGAGUAACGCGUGGGUAACCUGCCUUAUACAGGGGGAUAACAGUCAGAAAUGACUGCUAAUACCGUAUAAGCGCACAGGACCGCAUGGUCCGGUGUGAAAAACUCCGGUGGUAUAAGAUGGACCCGCGUUGGAUUAGCUUGUUGGUGGGGUAACGGCUCACCAAGGCGACGAUCCAUAGCCGGCCUGAGAGGGUGAACGGCCACAUUGGGACUGAGACACGGCCCAGACUCCUACGGGAGGCAGCAGUGGGGAAUAUUGCACAAUGGGGGAAACCCUGAUGCAGCGACGCCGCGUGAAGGAAGAAGUAUCUCGGUAUGUAAACUUCUAUCAGCAGGGAAGAUAGUGACGGUACCUGACUAAGAAGCCCCGGCUAACUACGU